rnacentral:rRNA from 1 species
UACGUAGGGUGCGAGCGUUGUCCGGAAUUACUGGGCGUAAAGAGCUCGUAGGCGGUCUGUCGCGUCUGCUGUGAAAACCUGGGGCUUAACCCCGGGCCUGCAGUGGGUACGGGCAGACUAGAGUGUGGUAGGGGGAGACUGGAAUUCCUGGUGUAGCGGUGAAAUGCGCAGAUAUCAGGAGGAACACCGGUGGCGAAGGCGGGUCUCUGGACAGUUCCUGACGCUGAGCACGAAGGCCAGGGGAGCAAACGGG